rnacentral:rRNA from 1 species
CAGUCGAGGGGCAGCAUGGGGGAGUAGCAAUACUCUCUGAUGGCGACCGGCGCAAGGGUGCGUAACGCGUGAGCAACUUGCCCUCAUCAGGGGAAUAAUCGCUGGAAACGGCGUCUAAUGCCCCAUGGUGAUGUCCUCAGGCAUCUGAGGUCAUCUAAAGAUCCGUCGGAUGGGGAUAGGCUCGCGUGACAUUAGCUAGUCGGCGGGGUAACGGCCCACCGAGGCGACGAUGUCUAGGGGUUCUGAGAGGAAGGUCCCCCACACUGGUACUGAGACACGGACCAGACUCCUACGGGAGGCAGCAGUGAGGAAUAUUGGUCAAUGGGCUUACGCCUGAACCAGCCAAGUCGCGUGAGGGAAGACUGCCCUAUGGGUUGUAAACCUCUUUUGUCAGGGAGCAACGCCGGCUACGUGUAGCCGGACUGAGAGUACCUGAAGAAAAAGCAUCGGCUAACUCCGUGCCAGCAGCCGCGGUAAUACGGAGGAUGCGAGCGUUAUCCGGAUUUAUUGGGUUUAAAGGGUGCGUAGGCGGAAUGCCAAGUCAGCGGUAAAAUCGCGGGGCUCAACCUCGCUCCGCCGUUGAAACUGGCGUUCUUGAGUGGGCGAGAAGUAUGCGGAAUGCGUGGUGUAGCGGUGAAAUGCAUAGAUAUCACGCAGAACUCCGAUUGCGAAGGCAGCAUACCGGCGCCCAACUGACGCUGAAGCACGAAAGCGUGGGUAUCGAACAGGAUUAGAUACCCUGGUAGUCCACGCAGUAAACGAUGAAUA